CUCAAAUUUGAAAUCUAGCACUUCGGUGUUUGAGUUGUAAUUUGAAGAUGGUAACCUUGGGUUUGGCUCUUGUCUAUGUUCCUUGGAACAGGACGUCAUAGAGGGUGAGAAUCCCGUCUGAUGAGAUGCCCAUUCCUAUGUAAGGUGCUAUCGAAGAGUCGAGUUGUUUGGGAAUGCAGCUCUAAGUGGGUGGUAAAUUCCAUCUAAAGCUAAAUAUUGGCGAGAGACCGAUAGCGAACAAGUACAGUGAUGGAAAGAUGAAAAGAACUUUGAAAAGAGAGUGAAAAAGUACGUGAAAUUGUUGAAAGGGAAGGGCAUUAGAUCAGACUUGGUGUUUUACGAUUAUCUUCUCUUCUUGAGUUGUGCACUCGUAUUUCACUGGGCCAGCAUCGAUUCGGAUGGCAAGAUAAUGGCAGUCGAAUGUGGCUUCAGCUUCGGUGGAGUGUUAUAGCUUCUGCUGAUAUUGCCUGUCCUGNGAUC
rnacentral:rRNA from 1 species